CACGUACUGUGCGAACGUUAUUCGGAAUCACUGGGCUUAAAGGGUGCGUAGGCGGCAAUUCAAGUCAGGUGUGAAAUGCCUGAGCUCAACUGAGGCAUUGCGCUUGAAACUGAACUGCUUGAGUAUCCCAGGGGUGUGCGGAACUGCCAGUGGAGCGGUGAAAUGUGUUGAUAUUGGCAGGAACACCGAAGGCGAAAGCGGCACACUGGGGGAUAACUGACGCUGAGGCACGAAAGCCAGGGGAGCGAACGGG
rnacentral:rRNA from 1 species